UAAAAAGAAAGGGAAGGGAAAGACAAGACAAUAUUGACCAUGAAUCAAGUGUGAUCGUAGCACAAAGAAGCAGGAAACUGUUCCCCAGAGCAGGCACCAGUUCAGAGAAGAGGUCCAAUGCUAUGAAAGCCCUGCCCCAUCUGGCUCCCGCCGUGCUCCUGCGCGGUGUACUAGGGCCUCCUGGCACCUUUUUAUCAUCAGCCCGGGGCGCAAUGCCAGACCAGUUAGUAGAGGCAGAAGUCAGGCAGGCAGGUGUCGUCCAGUGUGUUCCAGGCCAGCUGAGUGUGCAACCAGCGCCCAGUUCAGACAGCGCCCCAGGUCGAGGCUGGCCUGCGUAGGGGCCGCGCUCUGGCUGGACGUCACGCUCAGCGCGCAGGGCACCUGAGGACCGUGCAUCGCUGACCUAGUUGUCAGCGCAGCGAGGAGCAGGCACUGUGGAGGCGGAAACGCUGCGCGCAACUCAAGCACUGCCAGGCUGCUGAAGAGGCCUUCCGGGGCACAGAGGCCGCAGCUGCGCGGUGCGGAGGGCUGUCAGCGAGCAUGGAUCAGGGAGCGUUUCCCGCGAGAAAGCAGAGCCUGCACCAGCCGAGGGCUCCGCUGGUCCGAGGACUGUUGCCUAUUCCCCAGCGGCCCCCGACCUCUUCUCUGAACUGAUCCCUGCUCUGGGGAACAGUGUCCUGCUUCUUUGUGCCAUGAUCUCGCUUGACUCAUGGGCCAAUAUUGUCUUGUCUUUUAUUUCCUUUUAUGGACAUAGUCCUUGCUUAUUCCAGACUUGUCCUAUGAAUUAUAUGAGGAGGUUGGGCCCUGGGAAGCUUUCCCUUGGUUUUUAGAAUCUCAGCCCCCUAGCUGCCUGCCCUGGGAGGGUGGAGAUAUAGUCAGAAGACAGAAACCACUCCCACCACUCCAGCCUCCUGUAUAAGCUACAAAAUGAAAAUGUGGGCCAGGUGAGGUGGCCCAGGCCCGUAAUCCCAGCUCUUUGCGGGGCCGAGGCAGGUGGAUCACCCGAGGUCAGGAGUUCGAGAUCAGCCUGUUCCCCCCACCACCACCAAAAAAGGAAAAAGAAAACGUAGAGCCCUUCUAAAUGCAGCCCCUCUGUGACUAUGCAAGCCCCUGGCCCCAGGAAGCCAGGACUGCCCUACUCCUCUACUGCACAAGGCUCAUUAAACUUUACACUUCAGAAAUCUCGGAGUUACAGUACUUACUAGGAAAGAGCCACUCCCUGCUUCUCUAUUUGCAUAAUAAACGAGGAGGCUGCCAGACCCAUCUAACCACUCCACGUGUACCCGUGCACCCACGUGUGGCCCUUAUCAGAUGCAGGAGGUGAGCUAAGUUGCCAAUUGCUCAGCUUCUUUCUACACCUGGAGAAGGGAGUGGCUAGGACAGGGUCUUCAGGGAACAUGCUGCCUCAUUCUUAACUGCUUCUCUCAGUUCCCCCCACCACCUCCCCCACUGACUCGGUUAUCUAUUCAGUAUCUAAGAGAGUAGUUCAGAUAAGGAAGUCUCCUGAAGGAGGCUAAAGUUCUGGUACUGGGUUUAGGGUGGACCUAAAGAGCUGUGUGAGCCACCACACCCGACCUCUGAAUUCUAUUUCAUUGCUGUUAAAUGAUACCUCCCCACUAACCA